AGCAAAGUCUUUUGGCCUCUCAUACAGGAGAUAGGAGCGCAUCCAGCAUGGUACCGGUUAAUAUCGUCUUAGAUGACGGUUUGGGAAUACCAAUGGGAGAAAUUGGACAAAUGUGUGUUGCCGAGAGCAGUCAGCUGGAGAUAUUUGGACACUUGAAAGAUCCUCAGAAACUGCUUUUGGAGGACCUUGGGCCUGUGCUGAAAGGGUCUUGCCAGCAGCCAAUGAGAACAUCAAGUGCUCUAAUCCCCUUUACUUCGGUGUGGGAGGCAGCAGUGCGGGAGGUGCCGGCUCUGCGGGCUGCAUCACGGUGACGUGCCCUGCUCCCAGCCUAUGUGCAGCAAACAUGUUCUUUCAGUACUUCUCCGUCAGGAGGAUGAUGAGGGCUAACUAAAUGCAUCUAAACAUAACCACAGAAGAGGGGGGAAAUACACUGUGUGAGCAAACCUGAUGCUCUUCCUACUUCAUUAGAAUUUAAUGAAGAAAUACUCGGUGCCCAACAGGGGAAUCCUAAUUCAUUAUGUCCUUUGAAUUCUCAUUAAGCAUAUGUACAGUGACUACCAGAAAACAGCACACUUUCGACUCUGUUGUCCAUUACUCUGCCUAAUAGCUCUGUUGUCCAUUACACUUAAAUGCUGAUAACAGGAGAAACCUAUGCAAGUUUUAUUCCAGUAAUUAAUUUUCACUGGUUAAUUCCUGACGACUUUCCAAUGUUGCGCUGGUGCAGUGAAUCAGAAUCAUUACACGAGUGAGGUUAAAGCUGCCUUGGUGAUGCUCUGAGAAAAGAGAUGGACUCCACUGCACCUCUUGUGCCCAGCACAAGGGUUCUGCCUUGGAGCUGCUCUGUUAUGUGAAACCUUAUUAUGCACGUAAGUGGUGUAAACUGAAGGGCUGAAUGAUGACAGAAGCUGUCUGGAGCUAUCCAGGAGGUGUAAUGCUCUGCGUAGCUUUGCACUACUCGGGUGAGCACUUUGGAAGGAGGCAUGUGCCAGAAAACAUGGCACUGCUAAAUGUUUCUGACAUAUUAUUUAGCUUCAGGCAAUGUGUAAAAGCUGCAUAAUUGCUCACAGCUAUAUUUAAGUUGUAUUAUUGCAAUUGUCAAAGGAGACAGAUAUUAAUUCCUGUAUUUCUUCACAGUUAUUAAUACUCCCAUUUUUUACCUUUAUUACUCAAAAUGGUUAAUGGCUCUGAAAUAAAGAAUCUUUA
ensembl:lncRNA